UACGGAGGAUGCGAGCGUUAUCCGGAUUUAUUGGGUUUAAAGGGUGCGUAGGUGGUCUGUUAAGUCAGCGGUGAAAGUUUGCGGCUCAACCGUAAAAUUGCCAUUGAAACUGACGGACUUGAGUGCGGUAGAGGUAGGCGGAAUGUGUGGUGUAGCGGUGAAAUGCUUAGAUAUCACACAGAACACCGAUUGCGAAGGCAGCUUACUGGAGCGCAACUGACACUGAGGCACGAUAGCGUGGGGAUCGAAC
rnacentral:rRNA from 1 species